rnacentral:lncRNA from 1 species
AAGCAGAGCAAUGAAUUCUUCCUCGUUGAGGUUCUUGUUGAUCUCGGUGUUGAAAAGCUGCUCCAUCUCCUCAAAAUCCGUCGUGUAGAACCUCGGAGUCAGAAGCGACUCCUGAAUCUCUUUCUUCGUCCCCUUCUUGGAUUUCGAGGUGGCGGUGGCCGGAGGCGGCGGCGAGGAGGUGGCUGACAUUCUGAUCACGGUGGAGAAACGUCGGCCGGAGAGGUAUUUGCUCGGGUUAGUGAGCUUUGGGGUUGCGAACUUGGAGAUGGGUUUCACUAACGCCAUUUCAGCCGCCAUUGGUUGUGAGUUGCAGAAAGCAAGGGAGAGCGA